UUCUUUCUUCUCUCUUUCUUCUAUCUUUCUUCCUUCGCCAGUCUCCACCUCUAUAAAACUUACCGAUCCUGCACAUUUCUGAAACUCCCAACAAAGCGAAUUUCACUUAGGUUAAUCUCUGGUUAAUGCUGUUUUCUUACCGUAGUAAUCUUCUCUCAAUCUCCGCCUGUCGCUAAGAGCUAAGAGACACAGAGACAGACCGAGAGAGAGAGUGAGGAGUCCAAUUGUGAGCGUUUGCGAAGCGAACACGGAGCUUGUGGUGAUCAUGGGAUCUCCUUUCCUCUUAUUGGCCAUUGUAGCUCUUAUCGUUGGCGCCUUCCUGCCGGCCGCUCAGGCCAAUGCUCCUGCUCCCGCGCCGGCUAGCGACGGAACAUCUAUUGACCAAGGGAUUGCUUACAUACUGAUGCUGGUGGCUUUAGUACUUACAUACCUCAUCCACCCUUUGGAUGCCUCCUCCCCAUACAAACUCUUCUGAGUCUUCUUUUUAUGAUUUGACUGGUUAGACAGAAAACUUGAAAUGCUUCUUCUAUGAAGAUAUUUUGGUUUGAUAUUUGUUGCAGAUUUGGGCGUUUGGCCUUGUUGUUCUUCAUAUGUUAAAUGUUGCUGAAAUUUUGUUGAGCUUUAUUUCAAAUUUUGGUUGCUUGCCUUUA